UGCCAGCCGCCGCGGUAAUACGAAGGUCCCAAGCGUUGUUCGGAAUCACUGGGCGUAAAGCGUGUGUAGGCUGCGCGGAAAGUCAAAUGUGAAAGCCCGGGGCUCAACCUCGGAACUGCAUUCGAUACUCCCGUGCUAGAGUUAUGGAGAGGUAAGUGGAAUUCCUGGUGUAGCAGUGAAAUGCGUGGAUAUCAGGAGGAACAUCAAUGGCGAAGGCAACUUACUGGACAUUUACUGACGCUCAGACACGAGGGUAAGGGAGGGAAAGGGGUUUAAUUA
rnacentral:rRNA from 1 species